rnacentral:rRNA from 1 species
AUUGAACGCUGGCGGCAGGCCUAACACAUGCAAGUCGAACGGUAACAGGAAGCAGCUUGCUGCUUCGCUGACGAGUGGCGGGCGGGUGAGUAAUGUCUGGGAAACUGCCUGAUGGAGGGGGAUAACUACUGGAAACGGUAGCUAAUACCGCAUAACGUCGCAAGACCAAAGAGGGGGACCUUAGGGCCUCUUGCCAUUGGAUGUGCCCAGAUGGGAUUAGCUAGUAGGUGGGGUAACGGCUCACCUAGGCGACGAUCCGUAGCUGGUCUGAGAGGAUGACCAGCCACACUGGAACUGAGACACGGUCCAGACUCCUACGGGAGGCAGCAGUGGGGAAUAUUGCACAAUGGGCGCAAGCCUGAUGCAGCCAUGCCGCGUGUAUGAAGAAGGCCUUCGGGUUGUAAAGUACUUUCAGCGGGGAGGAAGGGAGUAAAGUUAAUACCUAGGCUCAUUGACGUUACCCGCAGAAGAAGCACCGGCUAACUCCGUG